rfam:Eubacterium plexicaudatum ASF492 genomic scaffold acLZb-supercont1.3, whole genome shotgun sequence.
GGGAUAGUAAAGGUUUCGACAGGGGUUUUAAAGCUGGAGAAGCGAGCCGCAGGAGAUGCGUUAACUCUCAAAAUUAAAAUUAAACGCUAACGAUAAUUUAGCAUACGCUGCCUAGUUGCAGCUGUCCGCUCCGAUGCACCUACACAUCGGAAUCCGGGCAUCGAUGAUGUAGGAAACGAUGCAUAUUAAGCUUUGCGUAUGCAGGCGUAUGAUGAAGCUACCAAAACGGUAACCGUGUCUGUGCGGGUGCCGCAGAGGGAAUGUUAAAUUACAGACUACGCUCGUAGAAGUACGGUGGAGGGAUCUUUGGACACGGGUUCGAUUCCCGUCUAUUCCACUU